rnacentral:rRNA from 1 species
UACAGAGGUCUCGAGCGUUGUUCGGAAUUACUGGGCGUAAAGGGCUCGUAGGCGGCCAACUAAGUCAGACGUGAAAUCCCUCGGCUUAACCGGGGAACUGCGUCUGAUACUGGAUGGCUUGAGGUUGGGAGAGGGAUGCGGAAUUCCAGGUGUAGCGGUGAAAUGCGUAGAUAUCUGGAGGAACACCGGUGGCGAAGGCGGCAUCCUGGACCAAUUCUGACGCUGAGUGAGCGAAAGCCAGGGGAGCAAACGGG